rnacentral:rRNA from 1 species
UAGGGAAUCUUCGGCAAUGGGGGGAACCCUGACCGAGCAACGCCGCGUGAGUGAAGAAGGUUUUCGGAUCGUAAAGCUCUGUUGUUAAGGAAGAACGAGUGUGAGAAUGGAAAGUUCAUACUGUGACGGUACUUAACCAGAAAGGGACGGCUAACUACGUGCCAGCAGCCGCGGUAAUACGUAGGUCCCGAGCGUUGUCCGGAUUUAUUGGGCGUAAAGCGAGCGCAGGCGGUUAGAUAAGUCUGAAGUUAAAGGCAGUGGCUCAACCAUUGUAGGCUUUGGAAACUGUUUAACUGGAGUGCAGAAGGGGAGAGUGGAAUUCCAUGUGUAACGGUGAAAUGCGUAGAUAUAUGGAGGAACACCGGUGGCGAAAGCGGCUCUCUGGUCUGUAACUGACGCUGAGGCUCGAAAGCGUGGGGAGCGAACAGG